UGCUUUGUCGUGGUAUACAAUACGACAUCAAUAAAAAAUUUUGUGUCAUGAGUCCAACUGUGUGAACUAUUGGCAACACCCUUAAAUUGUGCAUACUUUGAUAAAAUGUGAUUGAAACAAAUGCUUGUUAAUGAUUGAAAAAUAUUAUAUUGUUUUCAUGGUUCAAGAAAAAUGUGAAUAUUUUAAAUGCUUUAUUAUGUUUUGGUAAAUUGUGUUUUA
rnacentral:misc_RNA from 1 species